ensembl:snRNA U2 U2 spliceosomal RNA
AUCGUUUCUCGGCCUUUUGGCUAAGAUCAAGUGUAGAAAGUGUGUAUUAUGGAAAAACUAAUGGAUACGAAAUUUUUGCACCAAAAUAAACUUAUCUUUUAAUUCCAGAUUUCCAUGAACUUUUUGAAGUACCUUCA